UACGUAGGGGGCUAGCGUUGCUCGGAAUCACUGGGCGUAAAGGGUGCGUAGGCGGGUCUUUAAGUCAGGGGUGAAAUCCUGGAGCUCAACUCCAGAACUGCCUUUGAUACUGAGGAUCUUGAGUUCGGGAGAGGUGAGUGGAACUGCGAGUGUAGAGGUGAAAUUCGUAGAUAUUCGCAAGAACACCAGUGGCGAAGGCGGCUCACUGGCCCGAUACUGACGCUGAGGCACGAAAGCGUGGGGGAGCAAACAGG
rnacentral:rRNA from 1 species